CCAGCCCAGCCGCUCAGUUGAGAGGGAGCUGCCGAAGGAGACAGAUGUUUCUUCCCCGCUGCUGGAGUGGGACACCAAGGAGAACUGCUGCUGCCCCGAGGACCUGCAUGAGGUUCCAGAGGGCCCUGCCACUCCCGACGCUGAGGAGCUACUAUUGCUCCCCUUGGCAGUGUAUCCCAGAGAGACUGAGGAUGAGAGACUGAGGACAACUCCCCCUCAGCCCUAAAAAGGUGUCAAAAGAUGCUAGGAAUAACAGAGUUCUGAUCAUCUUGCUAUGGAUCUGGACAGAAAUGGCACAGAACAAGAAAACAUUCUAAGUUGCUGGAACCCAUUCACAGAGCCUUUCCGAGAAGGCCAAAAACUAGGAGCCGGGGGGUGAACAGAACUGUUUCCUCGCUGUCUGCGGCAUAUGAAGGCUCUGCAAGCAGAGUGUGGCUCAAGAAUCCUUGAUUCCAUGCAGCCUCGCAUCCGUCUGUUCAAAAAAGAGCCCAUUAUCCUCGAACAGAAGAUACUGGAUGGAGGACUGCAUUUCCUGGAACAGACCCAAGGACUGAAGCCAGGAACUGCUUCUCAUUACUAUGGCCAAGGUGACGACCCUAGCCACAGAAUCGGCUGCAUCCCAGGCCAUCUGGAGAGAGCCCCUUGCUACAGUGAUGCCCUCCUCCAGGAUGGUAGUGAACUCCUGGCUCAUGUCCGGAGGCAAGAAGUCUUUAAACUUUUUAAGGGAGUUCCACAAAUUAAAAUUGUAUCUCCCGAACAAGGCUAUUUUUUUCAAUACUAGAAACUGAAG